rnacentral:rRNA from 1 species
UACGAAGGGGGCUAGCGUUGUUCGGAAUUACCGGGCGUAAAGCGCACGUAGGCGGAUAUUUAAGUCAGGGGUGAAAUCCCAGAGCUCAACUCUGGAACUGCCUUUGAUACUGGGUAUCUUGAGUAUGGAAGAGGUAAGUGGAAUUGCGAGUGUAGAGGUGAAAUUCGUAGAUAUUCGCAGGAACACCAGUGGCGAAGGCGGCUUACUGGUCCAUUACUGACGCUGAGGUGCGAAAGCGUGGGGAGCAAACAGGG